CAGUAGCCGCGGUAAUACAGAGGGUGCGAGCGUUAAUCGGAUUUACUGGGCGUAAAGCGUGCGUAGGCGGCUUUUUAAGUCGGAUGUGAAAUCCCUGAGCUUAACUUAGGAAUUGCAUUCGAUACUGGGAAGCUAGAGUAUGGGAGAGGAUGGUAUAAUUCCAGGUGUAGCGGUGAAAUGCGUAGAGAUCUGGAGGAAUACCGAUGGCGAAGGCAGCCAUCUGGCCUAAUACUGACGCUGAGGUACGAAAGCAUGGGGAGCAAACAGGAUUAGAUACCCGCGUAGUCCCUGUCUCUUAUAC
rnacentral:rRNA from 1 species